rnacentral:rRNA from 1 species
UACGAAGGGUCCGAGCGUUGUCCGGAAUUACUGGGCGUAAAGAGCUCGUAGGUGGUUUGUCGCGUUGUUCGUGAAAACUCACAGCUUAACUGUGGGCGUGCGGGCGAUACGGGCAGACUUGAGUACUGCAGGGGAGACUGGAAUUCCUGGUGUAGCGGUGGAAUGCGCAGAUAUCAGGAGGAACACCGGUGGCGAAGGCGGGUCUCUGGGCAGUAACUGACGCUGAGGAGCGAAAGCGUGGGGAGCGAACAGG